CAAUAGCGUAUAUUAAAGUUGUUGCAGUUAAAAAGCUCGUAGUUGGAUUUGUGGCGUACGGUGGGUUCCGGGCACUUGUUGUCUGAGUAACUUGCUGUUGCCAUCCUUGGGUGGAACCUGUGUGGCAUUAGGUUGUCGUGCAGGGGAUGCCCAUCAUUUACUGUGAAAAAAUUAGAGUGUUCAAAGCAGGCUUAUGCCGUUGAAUAUAUUAGCAUGGAAUAAUGAGAUAGGACUUUUUUGCUAUUUUGUUGGUUUGCGCAAAGAGGUAAUGAUUAAUAGGGACAGUUGGGGGUAUUCGUAUUCCAUUGUCGGAGGUGAAAUUCUUGGAUUUUUGGAAGACGAACUACUGCGAAAGCAUUUACCAAGGAUGUUUUCAUUAA
rnacentral:rRNA from 1 species